rnacentral:lncRNA from 1 species
UAUAGUUAUUGUGAUAGAUUCUACUUUUAUACGAGUAAAGGGAAAUAGUUCAUCGGAAUUUCUCUACAGAUUAUCCUCCUCUUAGGCUCUUAUACAGUUUACAUGCCCAAUUAUGACAGAGCCGAUCAGACAAGCAGAUCGAGAGAUGCCGAAGAUAAUACGAUACUUACUCGCCCUGUUCAUCAUGAGUUUGAGUUUUGCUGAUGGCCUUCAGAUAUCACGAUGUAUCUACAAGUAACUGGUAAAUAGUUUUAACUAAGUUUGAGCAAUUAAAAUCAUCUCUUGCCAUAAUAUUAGGGGGAGGAAGGGUUAACCUACGAAUGACGCAAAGGUCAUGCCAUGGCAGUCCAAGUUUUUCAGCAGAUACAUUCACAUAACAACAGUUCAUUCAGUUGAGCCUUAUUCUAAGUAUCAACUCUUGUGAUUCUUUGGACACUUCUCCGGAUACUCCUACUAGUUACUUUUCAUCGUUUCUUUGCCUCGUGGAAAUUGGGAGCAAAUAUCUCCGCAAUCUUAUCAAAGACAUAAACAAAAAACCUCUCUUAGAUGUAUAUAACAGAUCAAAGUUAUUUCAAACACCCUCCAGUAGAAGGAAAAGAAAGCAUGGCCGAUUUGGUUAAACUGCUUCCUUGUUCUUACUAUUUUAUUUCGUUUGCUUCAUUCUGAAAAAAGUAAGAACAUGGUAGUCUCUUUGAUCAAUGCAGAAGUUACUAGUUUUAUCUAAGGAUCACCUCUUGGUGACCACGCAAGCUUUAUGUCCAAAGGGGGUGUUUUUGUUACUUUAGGUUGCUUAAAACGGUUAAAAUGAUGCAAGUUUGUAGCUAAAAAAUUCCACGUUGUUCCUAUAAAUUCCCCCAUCAACAUGCCUUAAUGCUCACCAAACAUUCAAUUAGCUUACUUCAGCAGUAUAGCAAGAAUAUAAUAUGGCUAUGAGUAAGAUCUUACCUCUUCUUGUCUAUCUCGUGAGCUUAGCCCUUGCGCAUCCUUCCCACGCCCAAAACUCACAACAAGACUACCUCAACGCUCACAAUGCAGCUCGUUCACAGGUGACUGUAGCAAAUAUUAUAUGGGACAACACGGUAGCAGCCUAU